AAAUGGAGAUAAAAGCCAUCUUAUAGCUUGUCUGAUGCAGGAAAGAGCCCAAGGCUUAAACUGGGAAGUAACAUUAUUUAGCAAAAACUGAUUUUCAGAAAGGGAUGAUCUAACUGGCAUAAACUAUAAUUGAUGUGAAUCCUCACAAGUGUCCGGUCUUCGUGCCUAAACUUUUUUCAACAGCUAUUUACUGCUACAACACUGUAAUCAGGAUCAGGUAGCUGGAGUCUUAAUUGUGUCACUAGAAUUUUCAGCACGAUCAGUCCUGUUUUUCCAAAGAUGUAGUCUGAAAUUGAAGUCCCCGGAUUGUGGACCCAGUCUGCUUCUUGAUUUUCUUGUUGGCAUGAAUGCAUCAUUGUGUAUGAUUACAACUCUUCUGUGACACUGCUACAACUUUCUCUGCCGCAUUCUAGAAGGUUCUCUACUUGCUCUUGAACUCUACAGGUGGGAAUAACCUCUCUGUCCUUCUGGAGGGCUCUCUGAUCCCUGCUAGAGGCAUAUGGUAUAAAACUGAAAAUAAGCCAACCAACAUAGCAGUUUUCAUUAGUGAUGUUGUGAGUGU
rnacentral:lncRNA from 1 species